rnacentral:rRNA from 1 species
AUUGAACGCUGGCGGCAGGCUUAACACAUGCAAGUCGAGCGAGAGGCGGACGGGUUAGUAAUGUCUGGGAAACUGCCUGAUGGAGGGGGAUAACUACUGGAAACUGUAGCUAAUACCGCAUACAAUCAGAUGUGCCCAGAUGGGAUUAGCUAGUUGGUGGGGUAAUGGCUCACCUAGGCGCCGAUCCCUAGCUGGUCUGAGAGGAUGACCAGCCACACUGGAACUGAGACACGGCCCAGACUCCUACGGGAGGCAGCAGGGGGGAAUAUUGCACAAUGGGGGAAACCCUGAUGCAGCCAUGCCGCGGGUGUGAAGAAGGCCUUCGGGUUGUAAAGCACUUUCGGCGAGGAGGCGUUACUCGCAGAAUAAGCACCGGCUAACUCCGUGCCAGCAGCCGCGGGAAUUC